GCAGACCUGGGAAGAAGGGAAGAAGAAGAAAGGGAAAGAAGGAAGCGGAGGGAAUUGAGGUGAAGAAGGAAAUGAGGGGUUUUGGUUGCCGCUGCCCAUGGAGGCCUAGGGUUCUUAAGCAUACCAUUAACCCUUCGAUCCGUGGCAUGCUGUUCAUGUGAAAACACGGCGGCCUAGGGGAUCUUCUUAACUCCAGUGCAAGUCCAAGGCUAGCCUCAAGUGUAUCAAGGGCGUGCCAACUGAUUUGAUCCUGCAAUCAGCAAGAAAGAGAAAAGCAGAGUUAGUCAGCCGAUAGCCGAUCGGCCGAUAGCGUAUCGUUGGUGGUCUCUACCGAUGGAGUUAGACCAAAUCGGCUAUAGACUGGAUAUAUUAAAGAAUAUUAAACCCUAAAUAUGCCUCAUUGGUUGUAACAUUGUCUAUCAAGAUUGAUAAAGAAGCUUAAGAUAAUAUUAUUAAAAUAGCCGAUGUAACAAUAUUUAGUGUAAGAAAGAUAAUAUACUGGCUAAUACUC
rnacentral:sRNA from 1 species